GCGCGAAAACUCCGCAAUGCGCGAAAGCGUGACGGGGUCACCCCGAGUGCCGUCCGCUGAGGAUGGCUUUUGCCCGGUUUAACUAGCCAGGUGAAUAAGGGGAGGGCAAGUCUGGUGUCAGCCGCCGCGGUAAUACCAGCUCCCCGAGUGGUUGGGACGAUUAUUGGGUCUGAAGCGUCCGUAGCCGGCCGGAAAAGUUCCCCGUUAAAUCUGGCGAUCCAAUCGUUAGGCUGCGGGGAAUACUCUUCGGCUUGGGGGCGAGGGAGGUCGGCGGUAGUCCCGGGGUAGGGGCGAAAUCCUAUAAUCCCGGGAGGACCACCAGUGGCGAAGGCGGCCGACUAAAACGCGCCCGACGGUGAGGGACGAAAGCUGGGGGAGCGAACGGGAUUAGAUACCCCGGUAGUCCCAGCUGUAAACGAUGCAGGCUAGGUGUUGGGUCGGCUACGAGCUGUCCCAGUGCCGCAGGGAAGCCAUUAAGCCUGCCACCUGGGAAGUACGGCCGCAAGGCUGAAUUUCAUCGAGGCUCAGAAAAAC
rnacentral:rRNA from 1 species